UGGGGAAUAUUGCACAAUAGGCGCAAGCCUGAUGCAGCCAUGCCGCGUGUAUGAAGAAGGCCUUCGGGUUGUAAAGUACUUUCAGCGGGGAGGAAGGUGUUGAGGUUAAUAACCUCAGCAAUUGACGUUACCCGCAGAAGAAGCACCGGCUAACUCCGUGCCAGCAGCCGCGGUAAUACGGAGGGUGCAAGCGUUAAUCGGAAUUACUGGGCGUAAAGCGCACGCAGGCGGUCUGUCAAGUCGGAUGUGAAAUCCCCGGGCUCAACCUGGGAACUGCAUUCGAAACUGGCAGGCUAGAGUCUUGUAGAGGGGGGUAGAAUUCCAGGUGUAGCGGUGAAAUGCGUAGAGAUCUGGAGGAAUACCGGUGGCGAAGGCGGCCCCCUGGACAAAGACUGACGCUCAGGUGCGAAAGCGUGGGGAGCAAACA
rnacentral:rRNA from 1 species